GAUGAACGCUGGCGGCGUGCCUAAUACAUGCAAGUCGAGCGAACGGACGAGAAGCUUGCUUCUCUGAUGUUAGCGGCGGACGGGUGAGUAACACGUGGAUAACCUACCUAUAAGACUGGGAUAACUUCGGGAAACCGGAGCUAAUACCGGAUAAUAUUUUGAACCGCAUGGUUCAAAAGUGAAAGACGGUCUUGCUGUCACUUAUAGAUGGAUCCGCGCUGCAUUAGCUAGUUGGUAAGGUAACGGCUUACCAAGGCAACGAUGCAUAGCCGACCUGAGAGGGGGGGCGGGCAACCGGAGAAGUGAAACACGGCCCAGACUCCGGCGGGAGGCACAAGGAGGAAUUCUCCCGCAAGGGGGGAAAGCCUGAGGGAGCAACGCGGGGGGGGUGAUAAAGGUGUUGGGAUCUAAAAACUUUUUUAUGGGGAAAAAAAAUAUGUGAAAGAAAGGGGGCACCUUUGGACGGGCCAAAACAAAAAAGCCACGGAAAACUACGGC
rnacentral:rRNA from 1 species